CCCCUCCCUGACUCCUAGAAGGCUGUGGAGCGGGACCCCAGCAUUUCGGGGAGGGUGAAGGGGGGCCACCCAAGGCCGCACCCUUCAGAGAACUAGUUGCCUCUGCGAGCACUUCGGUGGCCCAGGGGCUAAAGCACCGAGUUCGACCCUGGGCAAGUCUCUUCACUCUGCUUGCCUGUGUCCUGGGGGGUGCUGGGGGGGCAGGCCGUGUCCAGACAGGCCGGCGGCCUCUGUCUGUCGCAGAUGCCGCUGAGGCCGGCGGGCCAGACUGCGCAGCACCCAGGGAGGAGGCCUCUGGGCCCGAGGGAGAGCCAGGUUACCGCGAGAAGUACCGUGAGCGCGUGAGGAGGCGCUUCCAGGCCCUGGAGGAGAGGAACGCCCGCCUGGGGGAGUGGGUCCCCCUGAGCCGGCGCUACACCCCGCUGCUGCUGCGAAGCGGCCACGCCGGGGCUGGGCGCCGGGAGCAGGAGCUGCGCGCCUCCGGGGUGCUGCACGGGCGCCUACGGAGGAGCGAGACAGCCCCCUCUAGCUGCCCGAGCUCUUCGACGUCGACUCGAGGCAGGC
rnacentral:lncRNA from 1 species